GUGUCAGCAGCCGCGGUAAUACCGGCAGCCCGAGUGAUGGCCGAUCUUAUUGGGCCUAAAGCGUCCGUAGCUGGCCGCACAAGUCCAUCGGAAAAUCCACCCGCCCAACGGGUGGGCGUCCGGUGGAAACUGUGUGGCCUGGGACCGGAAGGCGCGACGGGUACGUCCGGGGUAGGAGUGAAAUCCUGUAAUCCUGGACGGACCGCCGAUGGCGAAAGCACGUCGCGAGGACGGAUCCGACAGUGAGGGACGAAAGCCAGGGUCUCGAACCGGAUUAGAUACCCUCGUAGUCC
rnacentral:rRNA from 1 species